rnacentral:lncRNA from 1 species
CUUUGGAUUCUGCUUGUGUGCACAGAGUGUGUUCUGACCUGUGGUGUUCAUGAUAUACGGGCCGUUGGAGACGCUGGAGAAAAGUUCGUCAGAUCCUCUCUGAGAAAAAAAAAAGCAAGCAUGUUAACGGGGCUCUCAAGCUAUAUGAUUUUGGUAUAAAACAGGAAAGGCAUAUUCCAGAAAAAGACACGAAAAAGAUAAGAAAUGAGGCCAUUAGUCAUGUAUGUUGGUCAACAUACAUGUAUCAUGUAAUUUACACAUUUCUGGAUUGAACCAAAAAUAAUAUACCAUAUUUUUUGGAUUACAAGUCGCAUUUUUUGUAUAGUUUGGACAGGGCUGUGACUUAUACUCAGGAGCAACAUAUGAGGUUAUUUUUUAACCAUAAAUAUAUUAUAUAUCAUAUAUUAGUUAUUUUGCCACUAAUAACCGCUUGUCCUUUACUGGUUGUUUCCCACUGACAACCACUAGAGGGCACUGUAGAUGUGUAUGAGAUUUUGCUACUGACAGCAACACAAAAGAAGAAGCACCAUCCAAAACAAACACGGAGGAGAAAGGGAUGGUUAUCCACCUGAACAAAAGGUUUUCUCAUUUGUAUUGAGAUAUUAUUAUUUAUUUUUUUUCCUUGGGAAACAGCAGUCUGGGUCACAGUGACAUGGGAAUACUGCUAAAAGCACCAUCAUUCAUGUGCUCCUGCAGCACAGAAGUGGAAAGUGAUUUGAAGGCAAAUUACAGCGGGAGUUUGGGCCUCCAGCAGCCACAAACAAGAGGAACCGGUGAUGGCAGGGAAAGUCUGAAAUGCUCCCACGCUGCAUUUCAGCAGUCAUGAUGGCCACAGCAGCAAACAAAGCAGCAAACCAGUCUGAAGGAGGAAGAGGAGGAGGAGGAGGAGGAGGAGGAAAAAGAGGAAGCAGAGGUGCCUACCUUAGUACCAACUGUUAAAUCUUGGUGGACACUGCUGUGAAGAAAAGACAGCGUGUUAGAAGCAGCAGGGAGAAAAACUCAAAAAACAACAACAAAACUAAGGGGAAAAAUUAAAGGGAAAAACUAUGAGGCUGCAGAGAUGUGUGAGGAGAUGGAGGGAGAAGCCGCGAGAAAACAAACCCAAGAGGAGAGCAAGAGACAGAUCAGAUGAUUAAAGGGAUUUCAAACAAAGCAGGGCUGCGGCUAACAAGCUCACUUAAACCUGCAGGACUUGGUAAAGGUUCCUGUCACAUGAUCUGCUGCCACACAGGAAGUGAGUUUACAGCGAUUAUGUCUUGUAAUUGGACCAUCAUGUUAUGACAAUACGCAUUUACUAUAAUGUGAUUCUGACCGAAAGGAGCUACUACUGUAGCAUUUUUAGUUCAAAUCCAUUUUAUGGACUGAAAGCGUGUUUCUGACCUUCAAAAAAGGUGUUUUUCCCCUCCCUGGGAUGUUGUUUUAAUCUCUCGUUACCUGACUCCUUUUAGCCGAAUUAUUCAUGAUCCUUUUCUACAGAAG